rnacentral:lncRNA from 1 species
UAAGCUUGUUGUACAGUUUUGUUUUUAAAGGCAAUUUUAUGGGAUGGUUGGGACUUGUAGCAUAAUUCCAUUUUAUAAUAAAAGAAAUUGCCCAAAUCCACAAGGCUAGAGCCAGUUUUGGUUGCUUACCCAUCAUCUCUCUCCCUUGCUGUUGUGUAUGAAGCAGUGUCUUGGGAUUGCUCAUGCUACAGCUGCUUAACUUGGAGUGACUGACCUUGGACAAAGACAGUGAGUUAUAGCCGCAGACUGUCUGUCUCUAGGGAUGCGCUACGGUAAAGCAUGGUUAUACUCAGUCUAGGUAAUCCUGAACCUAAGAGAUACUUAGAAAUGUACUUUUUAAAAAAAUGCUGUUUCAGAAAAAAAAUUUGUCAGAAAGGUCCAUUCAGUGACAUAGUUUGUAUUUGUUUAUGUUUACACGUAAGUCGCUUGUAUCGUGGGGUACUUCGCUGGAAAGCUUUCUUACGUGAAAACGUGCCAAGAGAAGUUCAAGAAGCUUGAAAACUCCCCCCUUGGAGAAGCACUGCGGUCGGGAGAAUUGCGGCGCUCUUCUCCACCAGGGUGAGUCCCCUCACACGUCACACCCUCACCCUCACACCGACUCUGCUUUUUAAGAAACAACUCUUUGUCAGAACACAAGGCUUGAAACUCUGCCUAUCACCAUUUCCUCUAGUAUGGAAGUGUUAAAAAGUGGAGCAAGAUUUGGCUGCUUUUAGGACCUGUAAAAGAAUAAAGAAAUAAUUGUUUUUGGCAAGCACUUGGUUUACUGCAUUCUGGAUUUCUUUCAAGUUACCAGAUUUUCUCAGUCUAGCUCAACUGAUAGCCACUUUUUUCUUUAUUGCUUAUGAGGAAAAUAAGCUUAGCAGAAAAUGCUUGUCUAUUUGAUUUUCGUGAAGCUCACAGUACCUUUAUGUUCUAAUUGUCUCAUACCAAGAACCAUAGUUAAUUCUUAAGUAUAUAUUUCAAACGUGAGCUGGUGCUGAUAAAACUAUUUGGAGUUUUUGUUUAUUUUGUUAUUUACAAAACUAUAGAUCAG